rnacentral:rRNA from 1 species
GAUGAACGCUGGCGGCGUGCCUAAUACAUGCAAGUCGAGCGAACAGAUGAGGAGCUUGCUCCUCUGACGUUAGCGGCGGACGGGUGAGUAACACGUGGAUAACCUACCUAUAAGACUGGGAUAACUUCGGGAAACCGGAGCUAAUACCGGAUAAUAUAUCGAACCGCAUGGUUCAAUAGUGAAAGACGGUUUUGCUGUCACUUAUAGAUGGAUCCGCGUCGCAUUAGCUAGUUGGUAAGGUAACGGCCUACCAAGGCAACGAUGCGUAGCCGACCUGAGAGGGUGAUCAGCCACACUGGAACUGAGACACGGUCCAGACUCCUACGGGAGGCAGCAGUAGGGAAUCUUCCGCAAUGGGCGAAAGCCUGACGGAGCAACGCCGCGUGAGUGAUGAAGGUCUUCGGAUCGUAAAACUCUGUUAUUAGGGAAGAACAAAUGUGUAAGUAACUAUGCACGUCUUGACGGUACCUAAUCAGAAAGCCACGGCUAACUACGUG